GUCCACGCCGUAAACGAUGGAUACUAGCUGUUGGGAGCAAUCUCAGUGGCUAAGCGAAAGUGAUAAGUAUCCCACCUGGGGAGUACGUUCGCAAGAAUGAAAACUCAAAGGAAUUGACGGGGGCCCCGCACAAGCGGUGGAGCAUGUGGUUUAAUUCGAUGAUACGCGAGGAACCUUACCAAGGCUUAAAUGUAGAUUGACCGGUUUGGAAACAGACCUUUCCAAGACAAUUUACAAGGUGCUGCAUGGUUGUCGU
rnacentral:rRNA from 1 species